UCUGGUGCACGGGAGGCAAGGCCGGACUCUUUCUUGCGGGAAGGGUCAAAUACCCGGAUGACUGCAGAAAUUCGAGAACACAGCCUCCGCGCCAUAUCAAAUCUCUCCUUAAACAGAAGAAACUGUCGCACAGGCCAUCCCACAUUCCUUCCUAUUUUGCUGGAGAUAGAGCAAAGAGCAUAAUAAAGGCCCUGCGCUCACAAAGCAGAUGUUCUAGUGGGAAGGAAAAGAUAAUGAACAUAAACCAAAUACUUAAAUGAUAGGAUUUCCAUUACUGACACAUGGAAAAUAAAAUAAGUAGAUGUAUUAUAGUGACUGAGGUAGAAAGCGACCAGGUUGGGAGGUGAGGCACUCUUUUGGUGACGGAGGUCAAGGAAGGCCUUGAGAGGGUGACGUCUGAUUAAGAGCUGAACAAAGAGAAGGAGCCAGCCAUGAAUGACCUUCAAGGAAGAACAUUCCAGACAGGGGGAGCUUGUAUAGAGAAAUAUUAAGCUCUAAUUUCUCUGCUCCAGAUUUUAUCUUCCAGAUUCAGUUCUCUUUCUCUGCAAACCAAUUCCCAAUUUUCUUACAAAUACAGCAUAGAAUAGUUUUCCCACAGCCCCCGGGCCUAGCACAAGGCUUGCCAAGAAUAAGCAUUUAACAGAAGAUCAGAGGCUAUGUGGCUCUGUGAACCACACCUGUUCUGUUAUACUCCAUACGGCCUAACACAGCCACCUAUGACCUGAGAUACAAACAAAAGCUUCCAGAAAUCACAGGAAGGAGCCACCAGCAACAAAAUGGGAGGUUUGUUCCCAGGGCCCCUUAGAUAAUCUUUCACUUUUCACAUAACUUUGGCCUUGACCACUGGGCCACUUACCAUGCCCCGUGUACUCAAAAGAAUCUGCUUCGUCAGGGGUAUCGAGUUCAUCCACGUUGAUAUC